CACGUGAGCAACCUGCCCCAGGCUUUGGGAUAACCCCGGGAAACCGGGGCUAAUACCGAAUAUGACCUUGCACCGCAUGGUGUUUGGUGGAAAGUUUUUCGGCUUGGGAUGGGCUCGCGGCCUAUCAGCUUGUUGGUGGGGUGAUGGCCUACCAAGGCGACGACGGGUAGCCGGCCUGAGAGGGCGACCGGCCACACUGGGACUGAGACACGGCCCAGACUCCUACGGGAGGCAGCAGUGGGGAAUAUUGCACAAUGGGCGGAAGCCUGAUGCAGCGACGCCGCGUGAGGGAUGACGGCCUUCGGGUUGUAAACCUCUUUCAGCAGGGACGAAGCGUAAGUGACGGUACCUGCAGAAGAAGCGCCGGCCAACUACGUGCCAGCAGCCGCGGUAAGACGUAGGGCGCGAGCGUUGUCCGGAUUUAUUGGGCGUAAAGAGCUCGUAGGCGGCUUGUCGCGUCGACCGUGAAAACCUGGGGCUCAACCCCAGGCCUGCGGUCGAUACGGGCAGGCUAGAGUUCGGUAGGGGAGACUGGAAUUCCUGGUGUAGCGGUGAAAUGCGCAGAUAUCAGGAGGAACACCGGUGGCGAAGGCGGGUCUCUGGGCCGAUA
rnacentral:rRNA from 1 species